rnacentral:lncRNA from 1 species
UUUUAUCAUGCCCACAAGAAAUAACAGUGGGCAUUGUAUGCUGCCGUAAACCGAUAAAGCAUGGUGUUAAAGCAAGGAUAACAAGAAAGUUGGAUCACGUCAUAAAUAUCUUGCUUACCUUUCAGAUUUGCAGUAAUAUCCACGAUCAUUCUUGAGGUGCCCGUAAUGCUUAUAGCGUACACACACCCACACACAUAUGUAUUUCACAGCACUGUGUUGUGUUUUCCAUGGGCCUUCGAGCUUGAGAAGAAAACUUGAAUUCGAAAUUAGAAACGGAAGCCGCCACCGCAUGUUUCUACAGGAAGCAGAUGACGCUUCGCGCAGCAAGGAACUGAAACCGAAACAUUUUGCAUUAUGGUUUUGUCGUGGUAACUGAGUUGUUUUCUCUCACUUUUUUUUUAAUUGCUAAAUUUCUUAGAUUCGUAUGCAGAAAUAUUUGUUUUUCUCCUAUUUUUGUAGAAGAAAAAUCUUCUCUCUCUGCAUGAUCGUCAUUGCACGUGAGCAUUCCUUGCUUGUAAGCGUUCACAUUGAAGUUUAACGGUUUAACGGUUAACCGGUAAGAAGUCGGGUGUUGUCACGGCUACUGUAUCACGGCAAAGGAUUAUGCAGCAGAAAUAGGCACAAGGAGACAUCUAUAAAUAUCAUCUGUAAAAGAGGUGCAACGUGAACAAGCGUCUCUUGUAUCUUCAUCGUGGCAUCCGUGACUGCGCAUCAUUGCCGCAGGUAAAAUAGUGCAGACCACGCAUCAACAGUGCUGCUGUUGCAGAUUACACGACAUCACCGUGUUCACUCAGCGUCACGAGAAGCAGUGCGGCUGCAGCCGCUAUUUUUUUUGCCAAAAAAAUGCUUUUCGUAUUCACUUUUGAGAACUCUUACAUCGGUUUCCCAAUUCAGCAGGGACCAAACUGUGAUUGUACACCCCAAAGUAAUUUUUUUUCCAAGUGCUUCAGCUUUCCUUUAAGCAAAGUUCGAGGAUGUGUAAGCACUGCAUAGAAGCAUUGCAAAGCUUUAAAAUUUAUUGCACAACUACAAAUAAGCUACAACACAAUGACACAAACUGCAUAUCAAUCUUUAUAAUUAGACAUAAAAACAUUCGAACUAGACAUCCAAACAUACACAAAAUGCAAGAAAUAUUUAAAACACUAGCGCAAUCACAUGAAAAGAAUGCACCCUGCAAAUGCCCUUGAACAUGAAUACAAAGUGGAUUUUGUUUGUUGUUUUGCUCAUGAUAGGUGAGAGAGCGUGACAAGCUUUUGGAACAAGACCUUGGUUUUGUGAAUGGAACAAUUUGGUGCAGGUGAUUUUUUUUUUCAGGGUGCAAACUUUUAUUUUGGAGCAGAGGACUAAUCAUGGUGUGGGUGAUUGAAACAAGGUGCUGCAAAACAAGGUAAUGAUCCCAAGGUGACUUACAUGCCAUGGAAGAUUCAUGAGAAAUGUGUGUUUAUCAGAAUAUAAAGCACGGGAUGGACUGUGGGAUUUGGCAAAGAAAGCAUGGUGUACCAGCAGCCAAGUACCUCAGUUCUGUUUCUUGACCGCAGCAACAGGUCGUGUUUGAGAACUUGUCGAAGUUAAACACAAAGCCUCCCAUUACUGCAAAUUUCAUGGAGCACUUGAUUUCGUACACAAGGGAUCAAUUAUUACACCCUGUAUUUUAUUAAUCACGCAUGAACCACAACAGCCUCUUUAUUAAGCACAACAGCAGGCACUUAACCAUGCAGUGAAAGCCUAGGUUCUGGAUUGUAAACACAAUGCAUGGAAGAUUUACACAGCUUGUGCUUACUGUACUGUAACUAAAGUGCCGUAAAGAAACUCUGCACUUUCCAUAGAAAAACGAAGAGCAGCAACUUCAUUUCAUCUUCUGGGCUAUUAUUCUAUAGGGAGAUAAAGGCUAAGUAAACGCAGGAAGGUUAACCAGAAGAUAAAUAUCCGGUUUGCUACCAUGCACUAGGAAAGAGGUAAAGGGGUGUUCUAAGCAAAUGUGCAUGUAUUUGUGCAUAAAUCGAUUUUGUUAAACAUGCGGUACAACUGCUGCAGCUUAGAGACAAAUACUUCCAUUACAAAAUGUGUGCCGAGUAACUGCUUCAGAAGGUUGUUAUGCUGCUCCAAAGUGAUGUUUCAGUAAGUUACAGCUGGUCCUGUUUUCUGUGUGCUUCCUUGUUAAUUAUUAACAGUUUUGAAUAAUUCAUUAAGGCUAUUGUAUAUGUUAUUUUUUUGCUUACCAUAGUACUGACAUCCUGUUUUUUUUUUCCCUUU